rnacentral:rRNA from 1 species
GAUGAACGCUAGCGGCAGGCUUAAUACAUGCAAGUCGAGGGGUAGCAAGAUUGUAGCAAUACAAUUGUUGACGACCGGCAAACGGGUGCGGAACACGUACACAACCUUCCUACAAGUGGGGAAUAGCCCAGAGAAAUUUGGAUUAAUACCCCGUAACAUAGCGAUGUGGCAUCACAUUGCUAUUAUAGCUUCGGCGCUUGUUGAUGGGUGUGCGGCUGAUUAGAUAGUUGGCGGGGUAACGGCCCACCAAGUCUACGAUCAGUAGCUGAUGUGAGAGCAUGAGCAGCCAGACGGGCACUGAGAAACGGGCCCGACUCCUACGGGAGGCAGCAGUAAGGAAUAUUGGACAAUGGACGAAAGUCUGAUCCAGCCAUGCCGCGUGAAGGAUUAAGGUCCUCUGGAUUGUAAACUUCUUUUAUAAGGGACGAAAAAAGGUCUUUCUAGAUCGUCUGACGGUACCUUAUGAAUAAGCACCGGCUAACUCCGUGCCAGCCGCCGCGGUAAAAC